rnacentral:rRNA from 1 species
UGGGGAAUAUUAGUCAAUGGGGGAAACCCUGAACUAGCAACGCCGCGUGAAGGAUGAAGGUUUUCGGAUUGUAAACUUCUUUUGUCGGGGACGAUAAUGACGGUACCCGAAGAAUAAGCCACGGCUAACUACGUGCCAGCAGCCGCGGUAAUACGUAGGUGGCGAGCGUUAUCCGGAUUUACUGGGUGUAAAGGGCGAGUAGGCGGGAUCGCAAGUCAGAUGUGAAAUCUAUGGGCUUAACCCAUAAACUGCAUUUGAAACUGUGAUUCUUGAGUGAUGGAGAGGCAGGCGGAAUUCCCGGUGUAGCGGUGAAAUGCAUAGAGAUCGGGAGGAACACCAGUGGCGAAGGCGGCCUGCUGGACAUUAACUGACGCUGAGGCGCGAAAGUGUGGGGAGCAAACA